rnacentral:tRNA from 1 species
GGAGGGAUGUCCGAACGGUAAGGAGCCGGUCUCGAAAACCGGUACGGCCCUUGUGGCCUUCGGGGUUCGAAUCCCCGUCCCUCCGCCA